rnacentral:lncRNA from 1 species
UACGGGGAGACCUAAAUCGUGACUCAAUUUGCCCUUUUAUAGAGAGGAUACAAGCGUGCUAAGGCUUUAGGAAAAGCCACACUCGUCUAUAUCCCAUAUUUAAGGGGACACUCAAGCAAAAUGAACCCUAUAACUAGUAUGAGAUGCAAAAAAUCCUAAAAUGAGGGGAAAAGAGGUUCGAGGAGCAUGCCAGAUGAUAAAACUAAGGGAAGAUGCAUGAUAUGUAGUGAACAGGCAAAUAAUGCAUUAAUGAAAAACAAAGGAAAAAUCCUAUUGGGUCUAGCGUUGGGCUAGCCCUUUCUAUGAAUUCCUAAUGAAAUAAUGAGCCACGACUAGCAUUGGACUAGUGUGGUGACGUACAUUCAUCCAUUCCAUUCAUUCAUGGUUAUGAAAGCAAGUAGACAUGCCAAAACACUCGUAAACACGUAACACGUAACACUUAGCAUGCUCGACUAGAUGCAAGAGCCUAAUAAAGCAAUUAAACAUGUAGCAACAAAAGCAAGCCACCAGGGGGAAGGGGAAGUGGACCAGAUGCUCUCCGAGCCCUAUCUAUUACAAGCCAAGAGGUGUACACAUACCCCAUAAAACUUAAAUAAAAGUAAAAAGUAAGUAAAUGCAUGCAAGGAGGUAAGGAAAGCGAAGUAGACAGGCAUAUUCACAUAACACAUAAGAUCACAUAGGAGAGACAAAAAGGGAUAAAAGAAGUGGUACCUCCCUUGAGUUGGAGCUCUAACGUAGUGGAGUUACUAAUGUACCCUCCAAAAUAAUAAGAGGGUCAAGGUACCAAUUUAUUUGGGAAAAAUUAAAGGAAAUAAGCAAUCACAAGCUCACUUGGUCAUAAAGCCCCUAAAAUCAUGAAUUAAGUGCAAUUGAAACGAAGCAUGGUAGUCAAUUGAAACAAACAAGCAAUGAAUUGCAAAAAUUAAAACUACUAAGGAUUAAAUUGAUGAAAUCAUUCAAUUGACUGGGCCAUAGUGAAGAAGAAGGGAACUUGGGGGAUCAAAUUGCAGUUUGUAGCAAUUAUUUCAUGCAUGCACAAAGGCUGAAGCAGUUUUUCUUCAUUUUUCUUUUUGCUGGUUUCGGCCAAAGCUUCCUAUGGGCUUAAGCAUACAACAAUCCUUAGGCAGCCAAUAUCAAUCCUCAAACCCAAAAGAAACAACGAGAUCAGCAACUAAAAUCCAUCAGUAAUCAUCUCAUCAACAAUUAAUGAACAUCCUAACAUCAAACAACCAUUGAAAACCCAAGCAAAGAGAAAAAUGAGGACAAACGGAAAUGCAUUUUGCAUCUGAUGAAACCAGUGGGGAUUUUACCAGGAGCACAAGAAAGUUUUCAAUCACAUCACUCAAACCAUCAAACAUCAAACCCUUUCUAAUCCUUGUGAGCAAUAUUAAGCCACUAAAAACCAGUUUGCAAAACAUGAAAAGCAAACGAAAAUUAAGACAAACAGAGAAAGAAAAGAAAAAGCUCUAAACUCCGGAUUCAUUCACAAGUUUCUGGGUUCCUUUAUCAAACAUUUAAAUCAUGCCAACCAACCUCCAAGCUAAAGAAAGCUUGCAAUUUACUCCAUUUAACACCAAAACCUAACAUUAGAAUUGCACCAACACAAAAACAGCAACCGGGGAAACAUCAAGACAGCAAAUCAUGAUGAAAAAUCAAGGAACUAAACCAGCCGCAAAAUGCCACAGGAUUCAUGCCUUUUGGAUUUGGAUUCUCAUGGAAACAGUGUUAAAGAAAGAAAGGGAGAAGCAAGGGUUACCUCAGAAUGUUUGUGGCAUCGAACCAAUGUGAAAUCUCCAAGAAAUGGCGUGCUGACUCUUGAAAUGAAGCAAAAGGAACUUUGCCGCAAAAAUUCUGUGAUGAUGAACUUUGGGUCCUGAUUUGGGAGGGCUAUGGAUGUUGCUUUAGGGAGAUUCCUAAAUGAAGUUCUGGUUUUACUUGCCAAGAUGGUGCAGAAAUCAAGAGUUCUUCCAUAAAGCUAAGAGCUUUUCAGAAAUUGGUCACAAAAUCAAGCUGGUUCGUCAGCCGAGUGAUGAAUUUUUCUCUUUUUUGCUAGCAGCCAUCCUUUCUUGCUUUCUUCAGCCGUGGAAAACUCUCAAGCUCUCAUUUUUCCUCAAGCUUCAGAAACUUAUUCACAAGCUUUCUCUUUUCCAGAAUCCCAGCCCGUAGCCCUCUCUCUCACUCCAUCUCUUUCUUACCCAAAGACCUAGCCGUCACCUCUGUUUCUUUUCGUUUUCCGGCUCUCUAUCCUCUCUCGUUUCUUUUUCCCUUUGCUGUUUUUCUAUCCCCGUUUGUUCUCUCCUUGCGGCUGUCUUGCGGCUUUCCUUUUAUAUCUAGGAACCACAACCCUAAACCUUCAGCCAGCUCUUCUAUAUUUACAACCCAAGGGGCUGCCCGAAGCCCUCCCUUGCAAGCUGCAAAAACGCAGCUUGCAAGUCGCGUUUCUCUUUUUUUUUUUUUUUUUUUUAACUUUCAACUUAAUAAAUACAGAAAUGAUAAAAUAUAAAUAAUAAUAAUAAUAACAAAUUGCCAAAAACCAGGUAAAUAAUAAUAAUAAUAAUAAUGAAAAUAAUUUAAAAACUAAACAACUAAAAACAACAAAAAUGGCCAUUUUUCCAUCUUUUUUGUUUCAUUUUUCAUUUUUCAUAUUUUUCAUUUUUUCUUUCAAGAAAGCAUUGAAUUUAAAUUACAAACGACUAAAUCAUAUUUUUUUUUUGAAUGCUUUUCUUUUUUCUUUUUUUCUCUUUUUCAACAAAUUCUAUGAUAAAACUUAAAAAUAAAAAUAAAACUAGAAACUAAAAACUAAAAAUGAACACAACAAAUAAAAACUAAAAAUGAAAUUUCACCAAAAAUUUGGUGUCUACAAACUGUAUGGUGCAAUUAUUUUCACUAAAAUAGACUUGAAAAGCGGAUACUAUCAAAUUAGGAUAAAGGAAAGAGAUGAAUGAAAAAUCGCAUUUAAGAUUAAGUAUGGACUAUAUGAGUCAUUAAUUAUGCCUUUUGGGUUAACUAAUGCACCUAAUACAUUCAUGCGUUUGAUGAAUCACAUACUUAGGCCAUUCUUGAAAAAAUUCAUCGUAGUUUAUUUUGAUGAUAUACUUGAAUACAGUCAUAGCCUAAAGAAGCACUUAGUGCAUUUGAGAUCUAUUUUUAACAUAAUUCGCCGAGAGCAAUUAUAUGCUAAUCUCAAAAAGUGCACCUUUUGCACUAAUAGAUUUGUAUUUCUGGAUUUUGUAGUUAGUAGAUAGAGAAUAUAGGUAGAUAAAAAUAAGAUUCAGGUCAUAUAAGAUUCGCCCGACACCCACGUCCAUGAGUGAAGUUCGAAACUUCCAUGGACUUGCGAGGUUCUACAAGUGAUUCGUGAAGGAUUUUAGCACUAUAGCUGCCCCAUUGACUGCAGUUAUCAAGAAGAAUGAGAGAUUUGUUUGGAGAGAAGCUUAAGAUUAGGCGUUACAUACCUUUAAACAUAAACUCACACAGGUACCUAUUUUAAUUUUACCUGAUUUCAAUAAAACUUUUGAAAUUGAGUGUAAUGCUUCAGAUAUUGGAGUUGGUGCUGUAUUGAUACAAGCAGGGAAACCAAUCAUCUCCUUUAGUGAGAAGUUUGGCAGAGUAGCACUGAACUAUUCGACAUACGAUAAGGAGUUGUAUGCCUUGAUUUGAGCAUUAGAGACGUGACAGCAUUACUUGCAAGCCAAGGAGUUCAUGAUUCAUACGAACCAUGAAUCAUUGCAGUAUCUGAAUUGUAACACAAGUUGAGUAAGAAGCAUGUUUGUUGGAUCAUUUUCAUUGAGUCAUUCCCAUAUGUCAUCAAACAUGAGUCUAGUAAGACCAAUAUUAUUGUUGAUGCACUAUGGCGCAGGUACACCCUAAUAAGCACUUUAGAUGCCAAGAUCUUAGGGUUUGAAUUUAUUAACGACUUGUAUCAAAAUGACACUGAUUUUGGAGAGAUUUUUGAGUCUUGUAAAAUACCUCAAAAGAGUAAGUUCUUCAUUUCUAAUGAAUUUCUCUACUAUAUCGAUAAACUGUGUAUUCCAGUUUGUUCGAUUCGUGAAUUGAUAAUAAGGGAAUCACAUGAUAGGGGAUUAAUGAGACAUUUUGGGAUAUCUAAGACGUAUUCUAUCUUGCAGAAACACUUCUACUGGCCACGCAUGAAAUAGAACAUGGAAUGAUUCAUUAACAAGUGUGUCACAUGCAGACAAAUCAAGUCUAAAACACGUCUACAUGGCCUUUACACUCCGUUAUCUAUAUUUAAGGAAUCAUGGAUAAAUCCGUCAAUUGAUUUCAUAUUGGGGUUACUUAAGUCUAGCAGGGAUGAUAGUUUCAUUUAUGUUGUAGUGGAUAGAUUCUCUAAAAUGGCGCAUUUCAUUGCUGGUCAUAAGACUGACAAUACAUUUCAUAUAGUUGACUUGUUCUUUAAGAAGAUAAUAAGAUUGCAUGGUGUUCCUAAAUCCAUCGUAUUUGAUAUGGACGUGAAGUUCCUUAACUAUUUUCUGGAAGAUCUCAUGGUUUAAGUUGGAAAUUAAAUUAUUAUUUUCAAUAACUAGUCAUCCACAGACAGAUGAUCAAACAAAGGUAGUCAAUAGAACACUCUCGACAUUGUUACGAGCUAUACUGUGUAAAAAUCUUAGGGCGCGAGAAGAGUGUUUACCUUAUGCCGAGUUUGCAUAUAAUAGAAUUGUUCAUUCUACUAGUGAUAUUCGUCAUUUGAGAUCGUAUACGAUUUUAAUCCAUUAACACCUUUGGAUCAGUGCCAUUACCUAUUUUUGAGCAAGUUAAUUUAGAUAGUAAGAAAAAAGUAGAGUAUGUUCGCCAUGUUCAUGAAAAGGUACAAACAAUUAAGAGAAGCAGACAUUGUAGUAUGUUACUCAGGCAAACAAGGGGCAUGAGCGGGUGGUGUUUGAAUCAGGUAACUGGAUUUAGUUUCACCUCAGAAAGGACCGUUUCCCUAUCCAACAUCACAAUAAGUUGCUACCACGUGGAGAUAGACCUUUCCAAGUACUCAAACGCGCCAACGACAAUGCCUACAAACUCGAAUUACUAGGUGAGUAUGGAGUUAAUGCCACCUUUAAUGUAUUUGACUUAGUCCUUUUCUUGCAGGUGAUGCGGAUGAUUUGAGGACAAAUUCUUUUGAAGAGGAGGGGAUUGAUGCAGUAUCCAAGGCUGUCCAAGUUGAUUCGAGUCUUAAGUUGGAUCAGUGAUUGUUCCGGUGGGUUCGAUGAUGCAAGGUCGAGCCAAGCGAGUCAAUGAGUUACUUCAACCCCUGGUUCGAUUUGUUCAAGAAUCAAUUGGAGCACUAAAUAUGGAAUCAAGUCUCGUUAAUUUGCUCCAAACUACAGUUGAAGAUGAUUCUUGAGGGGCCAAAUGUUAGUUGUUAUUUUAGAUUUACUUAAUAGCUAAAUAAAACGGUCUAGUUUUAAACUUGAAUUCGUAUUUAGUUAUUAGGGUUUUAGACUACAUGUUAAGAUCCGUUUAGUUGUUCAAGCAUAGGCUGUUUAACCCAAGUUUAGUUAAGUCCGUGUUUGGGUAUGUUUGUGUCAAGAUGAUAAAAACAUCAUUUCUCAUGGUGAAUGACAAAACACGAUUUUUGAGAACAUCGUUCUUGAGAGAACCCUCUCUUUAGCUCGACGAGCUUCUAUUGAACAUCUAGAAUCAUCUAGUGUUCAUAUUCGAUUUAACAAUCAAGAAUUCUAUUUUUUAUUGUGGCACCUUUUAACAAAUUUUUAAGGUUCGCUAGUUCAUUUGAUUAUGAGUGAAGAAGGUUUGCAAUCACGGGGAUUAGAGAAGUUCGGAGUAGGAAAUGUCAUCCAAUUCAAACUUGUGAAUAUCACCAUCGGGUCGGGGUUCGUCGUCACGAUUCUCGUCAUCAACGGGAUUCGUAUCAAAAAGUAUAAGAGACAUUUAAAUUGGACGAAGACAUAAUAUGUUUGAAGAUUGAUAAUAAAGGAUAACCUAACUCAUGAUGCCACUCAAACAGAGUGGUCUUAACAUCAAAAAAUGCAAUUAAAUGUGGUUGAAUAGUGGAGAGUAACCAUUCAUGCACACCAUCCUUAGUCCGAUCCUACAAAAGAAUUUCUCUAGUGUGAAGAUCCUUCACAUGAAAAGAAGAGAUAAGAAUUCAAUAGAAGUAUUGUUAGGGAGUGCUUGGUUCACAGAUUGGAAUCGGAAAUGAAAAUGGAAUCAUGAACUCUAAUAUUGGAAUAAAACUUUUCAUUCCAAUAUCUUAGCUUGGUUCACACACUGGAAUUAGCAUCAUUCCAAUUCUUGAUGCUUGGUUUGAUAAGUGUUUUGAAAUGAAAUAUAAUUAAAUUCUAGUUUUGCCCCUGAUAUAAAAAUUAUAAUAAAAUAAAAGAAUUACAUAUACAACAAAUUAACAUCUCCACAAUUGUAACCACAAUAGUUAGUCGGCUUUUGAUUAAAAAAAUAAGAAAAUCAUAAACAAUAGGAAAUAUUAAUGCUAGAAAAUAAAUAUAGUAGCUGUAGUAAAAAGUCAUUUGUGGUUCCUACAUUAAACAAUGAUUUGAAAUAGAAGAUCUCUCCUUACAUAUAUGAACAACAGAAGGCGACCCAAAUAAAAAAAGCUAACCAUGCUAUUGCCAAAUUCCAUAAGAACAAAAUACAAACUAAUAGUUUAAACCAAUCAAGAGUGCCACUCAAUAUCCACAAUCUCUAAAAGACUAAUCAUAUAACUAUUUAACAACCACCAUAACAAAGAGAAAUUACCACCAAAUCAUCACUUUUCAGCUAGCAAUAUGUCUUAUUUCAGUGAGUAGAUGGAGGAUAAAGGAGAUUAAUUACAUAUUAUCGCCUCAUUUCUGCAGGAAGAUUAUAGAACACAUGAAACUUGAAAUCUGCUCUGAAAGUAUGUUGGCUGCAUUCAUUACAUCUCCACUUGGUAAAACAAGUUUCAACAACUCAAUAAUAACUUGAUUUUUUCUAUUAGAAAUCAAUUACUCACGUUUAUCCUCAUUUGACAUGGUUGUUGCCAUAGUUGCAAAAUUAAUUUGAAUUCCCUCCACAAAGUCUCCAAAUUUGCUGCUAAGAAGUUACAAUGAUGCAUCAAGAUCAUCCCUUGUUAUUGAUGAAGAUUUCAUUUUUUUUGACAUAUUUGCAAUGGGAAGUGAUUGUUUCUUUUGUUUCUUAGAAUUCCUUAUGCUUGUUGAGGUUGGUUGAGUUGAUUAUAUCAUGAAAUUUACUUCAUUUUCUUCUACAUUAUCAUCAUCUGAGUUUGACAUAGCAUCAACCCCUUCAUCUCAUUCGUCCAAAUUUUGGGCAGUUUUCAUAAUUUGGAUAGCUUGUAUAAAAUCUUUAGCAACAUUUUUAGUGACUCUAUCUCUUCCAUAUACAAUUUCAAGAUCUCUAAAUAUGGAAAUUUGACAUCCUAAAGGCCCUUUGCAUCCUUAUGGGUGUAAAACAUAAAAUAGAAAGAUAAAUGAUAAUCUUAAUAAAAUUUUGAAACUAACAUAUGAUAAUGUAAAGAGUAGUCAAUUUCUUAUCUUGUACCAAUAAUCAUAUCACUAUUUUUCACAAGAAAUCUUUUUCUCAACAUCAUUCCAACUACAACCAUUUUCUUUGCACAUUUCAACAAUUGCAUGGUAUCUAUUUUUCAACCACUUAACUUUUGAUUCAAUAUGUGGGCUAACUUGCUUGGUAGAAAUAAGUUGCUUACGCAAAAUAAUUUUAAGUAAUUCAUUCAUAUAAUUAUUUCUAAAUCCUUCAUCUGAUUUUCACAUUGGAUCACAAGCCAACUCUUGCAAUGCUUCUAUGAGCACUUUCACCUCUUCAUUAGUCCAAAAAUAUAUGUUUCUCCCUCUUCCACGUACAAUUUCAUCGUUCUCCAUCCUAUCAUUUAAAAGUCAGCCCAUAUAUACCAAUUAAUUUCAAUAAAAAAUACUAUGUAAGUGAAAUUUGUAAUAUAAAAAACACAUAAAAGAACAUAUAAUUAAUUUAAUCACACAAAAAAUUUGAAAAAUAAAUUUCAUAAUAGAAACAUAUCAAGUGUCAAUCCAGUUCACAAAUCCACUACUAGAAUACAUCAAAUGUCAAUCCAAAUUUAAUAACUCUAAGAACUAAGCAUAAAUUCAUAACUAACUACUAAAUCCAGCUCUCUAAUUGUCAAACAUUUCUUGAACUAAAUUAUUUCUAAAAUUUGCCUAUUAAUCACUUGACGAAAUAGUGGAUAUAUACUCUACUUUUUCAUCUCUGUCUUCAUCUUUACUUUCAUUUUUCUUCACUUUGUAGUAAUUCUUGUAGAUCAAAAGUCAUGAACUUCCUUAUCAAGUUGUGCAGCAGAUAACAUGCCAUAAUUAUUCGCACUUGUGUUUGAAUUGAAAAAAAUGAAAUGGAUGCUAGAAUCUUCUACCUUCCUUUUAGCAAUUCAAAACAUCUUUCUAUGAUAUUUCUAACUUUAGAAUGUUUCAUAUUAAAAUGUUCCUCUAGUCUCUGUGGUCAAUAAUCAUUGAAUUCAUUAAGGUGAUAUCUUUGCCCUCGAUAAGGGACAAUAAAUCCAUCAACAUUACAAUAUCCAACAUCCACCAAGUAAUAACAAUCUUUAAAAUUCAAUUAUGCACAAAUUAAUACUAAACUAACUACCUUAUUUUAGAAAAAAAAAUUGAUUAAAUGGUAUUAGAUACUGCAAUGCAUGUUUACUUUGUGGGACUCUAAGACCAUUAGGUCUAGAGAUAGUAUUUCGAAACACACGACCAUUAUAUGUCGAACCUUCCCAACCAGCCAAGACAUAAAUAAAUUGUAUAUUAGGAGAACAAACCCCUAAUACAUUCGUUUCAAUACUUCUUUUUCUUGUUCGGUAUCUUGAUUUUUGUUCAGUGGGUGGUGUCACAUCUAUUAAUAUCCCAUCUAAGACACCUAAACAAUUCUAUUUUAACAAAAGCCAAAAAUGUAAAAUGAGUUAAAAUCUCUAUAUUGGAUAGUUUGGAUGAAAAUAUGCAUUUUAUUAACUGAUUCUAUUGCAAUUGAUGAAUUACCUUAAUACAUUUUCAUCUCUCAUUUGUGCAAUCUUCGUUAAUAGGCUCAGACUUUUUAAGCAAUAUAGUAUGCAAUUUCAAAACUGCUAGGAGGCAAAGAUUGAACUGACGAUUCAUUGUUUCUCUACUUCUCCAAAAUAGACCACAAAUUGUUCUAAUUUUUUUGUGGUGAGCCAAAACAUAGACAAACAUUGCAACAAUUUCUUCUAUUAACAUGUUUCUUGUAGCUUUCAAGCCUCUAAUGUCUCUAAUCAUUUCACAUAAUAUCCCAAGUGUUCGUCUAUUCAUACGAAGUUUGCUAAUACAAUAAACAUCACUCUCCCUAAUCAAGUUAAAUAAGUGUUGCAUGCGCUCAGUGAUAUUUUCUUCUUUUGAUUUUAUUUGGCGCCUUCUACUUUUGAGAUGAAUGAAUAUUAACUGGUACCACAUCAUACAAAGUGCAAUAACAACCAUUACAUUCUCGAUAAAAUUUGGCUAUUUCGAUUUUUUUUUCGUCUUUUGUUUCUAAUAGGCAAACGCGGCAUCUUUGUCUACAUAACAAUAUGAUAAUAAAAAAUAAGUAUUCACCAUAAAACAUGAAAGACAAAUGCAUAUGUGUCAAAUAUAAUGCCUCCAGAUAUUGAUAAUACCCUUUCUCGUGUUUUCUUUCUUUUGGUUGAUGUAAAUAUUAAGAAGAUAAUUUGAAAGUUUUACAAAUAAAGGUUGGCACCUAAAACAAUCAUAUACAGAUGAAAAUUGGACUAUUUCUGCUCCUAAUUACUUUUUCUUUUUUCCCUUAAUAUAUCGGUCGAGUUGAUUUAAAAGAUUUAUCCAAUCAAAUUUUCUUCAAAUUCGGUGAUGCAUAUCCCCAUCUUUGUUGACAUAUUGCUAUGAAUGUGUAUUAUAAUAUUUUAUUCUAACCAUGGACAAGAUUGAUCAAGUCAAUUAGAUCUAUAGGUGUUAACUAGGUGAAAAUGACGUGAUUGUCGAAUUAAUAUUCUUGAGUACUCUAUGCAAAACUGUCGAGACUUCGUGACAUGAAUAAAUUCAAAGAUGGAAAAAAAUUAUCCAAGAUAUAUGAUUGCAGGAUAUAUCAUAUACUAUAAGGUAGCAUGUGAUGAGAUAUAAAAGUUCAUAAUAAAGAAAUCAUGAGCAAAUUCACUAGUCACUGCAGUGUUGAGCAAUUUUUUCACAACUUAAGCAAUAAAAAAGAAGCUCUAAGCAACCUCCAAUCUCGAUCCCUACCCACAAACAACCUUAUCUCUACCACCUUAAACAAAUCUGAAAACGCCUAUCUAAAAUUCAAUCUGUGACGCCCCCGCUUCUCUCAAGGGCGAACCCUAGGGUAUCGGCGAGACGCCUGCCUAGCUCGCGCCAGGACUCAAAAUUUCAAAACAAUAAAACUAGAUAAACCCACAAGCGUACUAUUCACUAUAUAUCUAACGCCAAAAGAGUUCUAUUUACAUCUUCAAAAGUAUCGAGUCAAACCACGCUAAUACAUUAUAAUAACAACCAGCAGAAGGUAGACCCUAAGGAGGGUCCUUAUACAAACCACCAAAAUAAAAACAAACAUCCUAACUGUCCGACUAUUACAAUCAAACCUAACUAUACUAGUGAAGGUGCCAAGAAGUUCCCCGCGUCGUCCCCUGCUAAGGAAAACAAAGGAAACGGGGUAAACUAGAAGCUUAGUAAGUCAACAGGGGUAAAAGCGUAAAAUUUCACAUUUAAAGAAACAGCUAUUCCACAAAAUGUCAAGUCAAGUGCAAAAGUAACAAUAUAAAGGAAGGAUACAGGUUGGCUUCAAAGCCAAGUCAUUUGCCAUGCGUGAUCUCCUGUCGACACUCCGUCGACCAUAAAUAAGGUCCGUAGAACUCCACUUGUACACCUACCGAACACCUUAUCACCCUCACUGGCCAGUCACCUCACAAACUUGUUCGGGCGAACGAAAUCACAAACUUGAGCUUGAGUCACAAGCUCGGGUCACAAACUUGGUUCACGUUCUCAGUGAACCGGAUUCACAAACUUGGUGACCUCAGACUAAGUUGGACUGGCUUCGACCAAACCCUGACCGGCUCGAAUAGUCCAUCUAGGUCGGAAGAUCAACCCAAACUUACAAACGUCACCCCGAGCUACAAGCUCAAGGGGUUCAAAUCCAAAACUCACAAACGUCACCCCGAGCUACAAGCUCAAGGGGUUCAAACCCAAAAUAAUUCAUGUAUACACAUCUCAUAAAGAAACAUAGGUACAAGCUAGGGUUUAGGUCGAGUGUGAUAAAGUACACCCUCGCCUAAGUUCCUCUUUUAUUCACAUCAAAACACAUAAGCGAUUUAUACACAUAAAUGGCCUGAAUACUUACUCAAAAUACAAAAGUGGUAUAAGAGCAAAAUCACUUCGCGCGUGUUCGCUAGUAGUGGGCCCCACCGACUCCGCCUAGCUCACCACUGUCUGAAAUAGAAGAUUGUACCACAUAUUAUCACAAACGGCCACUAACAUGCCCAAAACAAGCAAAACGGCAAAAUCGGCACAUGCAAGUGCGGAAACGGCAAAAUGGGCGCACGCGCGCGUGCGGAACGGCAAACGGAAAUGGCCAAAUCUGUUGUCUCAAACCGUUUUGAUCAAAAGUUAGGCUAGGAAUGUCAGAUCAAGGUGAUCGAGACACCAUUUCGAAGCUAUGACGAAGGGCUACAAUUCUCAUGAAGACACCUUAAGCUAGAUCUGAAUAGAAGCAGGUUGAAAUUAUGGAAAACAGUAUCAGAAAUUUACGUGUUCGGGUGACAAACAGGGUUUGUUUGCUGGACCAUAACUCACAGCUCACAAAUCCAAAUCAAGAAAUUCCAAAGGCGUUGGAAAUCUAGGACAUAAGGCUAUAACUUUAAUGUUUGGACCAAAAGCUGAAUCAAUACAGAGCAUGGAGGAAAAUGGGCCCAAACAUUCCUAUCAGAACUGUCCAAAUUCGAAGGCAGUUCUGACAACCGAUCUUGUUUUGGUCAUAACUGAAGCUACAAAACUCGGAUUUGGAUGCACUUUAUACCGUUUCGAAGCUAAGACCAAGAUCUACCUUUCUUAUGAAGAUACCAACACCCAGUUCGUACGUUAUCAAAACGGACAAAACAGGGUCAGAAGCUAAAUCCAGAAACACGGCAGAAUCCGAAGUUUAGAAUAGAUGCAACUAUUUUGGCCAUAACUCAGGCUACAUAGAUCCGUUUGAGGUGUUCUUGGUGGCGUUGAAAAGCUAAGACAGAGUACUGAAAAUUUUAUGUUUGGGAAAAUGGCUAAAUCCGAACGGAUUAUAGUGAAUAAACACAACCAAAAAGACUAAACUGUCCACGCGGAACUCUGGAAUGUAACCUAGAACAGUGAGGGUAUUUUCAUCUUUUCACAAGCUACAUUACUCCGAUUGAGCUGAAAUUUUGUAAGCAACUAUAAAAUACCAUUAUCUACAACUUUCAUGUUUUAUGUUAAGCCUAAAUUGGCCUCUAACAUGGUGCAAUAAAACCGGACAGAAUAGAGCUGAAAUUUUCCAGAAAUCUGAAAUUUUGGGAUUCAAUGCAACCUUUCUUGAUUUCUUGCUCUAAUAAUCACUAAAACCCCUUAUAUAAGCUUAGAUACAACAUAUAUCAUCCAUAUAGCAAGGAUAGACAGCAAGUAUCUCAAACCCUAAUUCACAUAAAUCACCUUUAAAUCCUCAUAACAACUUGUAUCACCACUAAUCCAAUCAAAACAAGUAUUAUAUAACAACUUAAACCAAAAUGAAAGAACCAAAGCCAUGGUUUAGCCUUAUACCUCAACAAAUGAAGCUUGCAAGAGUAAUACUUCACUUCCUCUUGGAAGUCUUGUUUCCCCUAGCUUCUCAAGCCCACAACUAACACUUUAAUCGGUUUAGAAGUUUAAUUUCUCACUUGGAUGGCUAAAAUCAAGAAGAAGGAAGUUGUUUCUUGCUCUCUCUUUCUCUCCUCUCUUGUUCGGCCAAGCAGCAGAAAUAAUGAAAGGAAAUGGAGCAAAAUUGGUGAUAAGAAGGUUGGAAUUUGUCUUGGUCAAGAAGCCAUGAUUGAGUGACACUUGUCACCACUAAUACCAACCAAAAUUUUCUUUUUCCUUCUUGCAUUUUUAGCCCUAAAAUUUGGUCAAAACUAGCUGGAAAAUGAGAGGAUAUUUUGCUCAAAUAUUAGUGAGCUUGUAUGGUAAGAAAGUGGUGGUCAAGUGGUGUGUUCAAUCGGUAAUGCACGGUACACGUCGGUUCACACCGUUCUUCCUUAAGUCACACGUACUAGGGUUUUUUUACUUCCUAUUCACUAACCUUUUAUCAUUGCAUCUAAUCACAUAUUAUUUCUUACCCAAAAGUCACUCUUAAGCACCAAAUUUGAUCCUUGCUUCGUACCGAAAAUCAUCCGGCAAAAAUCGCGAAAAUCCUAAUUGCUCUAAUCUUGAAAACGAAGAGUGAAACCCUACUUUCUAGGUUCAUUUGUACUUAUUGUAGAAUGAUUGGGUAGUAUUAAGGGUUUUACACCCAACUUAGAAUUCUAACAAAUCAUAUCACUAGAAACUUUUCUAGUUUAGGGUUUUCCUAACUUUUAAACUCACUUUAAGCACCAUUCGAACUUAUUAAUACAAAACUAGGGUUUCAAUCAUACCCCCAACUUAGGGUUUUCGAAGUAUUCCCAAAACCAAAUGUUACCGCACAAAUAAUGAAUAUAACCUAAUAUCAACCUAAGAACGGACUGGGGCCUCACACAAUCCACAUCUCUAUCUCUGCAAAAAACAUAAUGGCUUAGCUGUUCUUGGAUCUAGAGAUUCUGGGUCUUUCUUAUAUACUAUUAUUAUUGCUAUUAAUUGUAGGAGAAAUUUGAGAGAAUAAGUAUCUUGGAACCUUUGGAUUUGGAUUGAGGGUUUUCUUUUCCAAUUUUUCUUGGAGAUUUUUCUUUUGGAGAUCUUGUUGAAUAAUUUGUCUACUAAAGAUGUUUGCCCACAGUUAACCCAUUCAGAUCUACUUUAGAUCUCUUUUUUGUUUAAAAGAUUUUGGAUAAGAGAUGAAGAAAGUAUGGGAUAAUAGAAAAUCUGAUGAAGAAGAUCAAGUAGACAGAGUGAAGGGCACGUGAUAGAGAGAGAGAGAGAGAGAGUAGAGGCAUUAAUUUCUUGUGAUGGGUAGGUUUGUCCACAAAUGUUGUGAAAGAAUAACUUGAGGGUUUUGUCCAAAACCCCUCAAUUUUUUCGGGAAUGGGAGAAGUCCAAUUUUUUAGAUAUGAUUCCAAAAAGUUCAUUCCAAUAAGUUUAACUCAAGCAACAAAUAAGGGGUUUAUUCCAUUUUGUGAUUCGCAAACUCUUUAACCAAGCGGCCCCUUAGUCUUGCAAAAUUGGGAAAUAGAAAUAAGAUUAUAUUUCAUGGUGGAAACACAGAAAAUAUUAGAUAGGGUAAAAGAGUGAGAGGGAGUGGUAAGAAAUGUGAAACUAGUGUGGGAUAUAGGAAGUCUAGAGCCAUCACCAAUCAUAAUUUCAUUUGUACCAUCAUUAGGACUAUGGAGAACAAGAUUGUUGAAAUCACUAGUGACAUGAUAGGAGGCACCACUAUCAAAUAGCCAUAUGGUGUUGGAAAGAGCAGUGAUUUCAAUAUUUGCUUGAACUUGCUAGGGAGCCAAUGAUCGAGUUUGUGAUGAAUUGCCAGGAUGAGGAGGGGGUUGUGCAUGGGGGAAUUGUUGUAGAAAAAGAUGACAGUAUGAGACUACAUGUACUUGAAUACCGCACCACUGACAACAACUAAGGAAUAGAUGAGUAGGAGGACGGGUGUUUAGAGGGUUGCUGCAAAUAUUUCUUGGGAUACCUUGAGUGGAUGUUGGUGUGGUCCUAGAAAGCUAAGAAGUGCAAUUGGUAGUUGACCAUAGAACGAAGCAAACAUUGGUGGGAUGAGCAGAUGCCAAUAGAGAUGGAAGACUUUAUUUUAUUGCAGAAAGAUAGUUCUUUGUUGAUGAGUUCAUCAAAAGAGAUGGUAGAAUCACAACCAUUGAUAGCAUCAAUAAUGGACUGAUAAUUUUCAUCAAGGCCUUUAAGUACUUUUUCCAUCAAAUCUUCAUGGUUAGAAGAUUUACCAAGAGUAGCAAGUUCAUCGGCUUUGGUUUUAAUAGACUGCAUGUAGUUUGUAAUGGAUUGAGAGGCUUGGAUGAUGUUUUUAAGUUGCUUUUUGAGUUGCUUGAUAUGACCACGAGAUGGUCCGAGCAUAGGUGUUGCCAAAUAUUUGCCAGGCAUCAUAAGAGGUUUUAUAUUAGAAGAUGAGAAGAACUACAAAAGGAGAGAGAGCACCAACAGGUCCUUCAAAUAAUAGUUUACGUUAACGUAAUCAUGUUUGGCGUGUAGGGUUGAUGAAAUUAAUGAUAUUGACGGUGAUGGUGCGUGGAGGAGUAGGGUGAGAUCCACCAAUAAAUUUUUGUAAAUCAUAGCUGAUAAGAAUGGCUUCCACUUGGGUUUUUCAAGAAAGAUAGUUGGUGGAUGUGAGUUUAAUGGAGUUUUGAAUAGUAAUCUUGGUUAAUGGAUUUGAGGGUUCUUGAACAUUGGAAAUGGUGACUUGAGUAUUCUCGUUAACCAUUAACAGAAUGGGAAGUUUUUAUUAAAAAUUGAAAAACGAGGCUGAAAAGAAAAGAACAAGAGCAAAGAGCAAGCCUUUCCUUUGAUACCAUGAUAGAGAAAAAAAUAUUUAUUGAAUUGGGUAAAUGAUACAACAAUAUAAUGCCUAUAUUUAGAGGCAUUAUAUAAUGAAGACAUCUAGAAUAUAUGGUAAGAUUCUAAUUGAUACUAAUAAUACUAAUUGAUACAAUAUCCUAAUUGAUACAAACAAAAUCUUUACAGAAUGUUUUUCUCAAUUGAUUGAUUCGAGUUUUUCAAUUUGAUUGUAUAGUCUUAUUAUACCAUGCUUCCAAAAACACUACAAAAAAUACUUAAUCCAUAUACAAAAUUUAAAUAAAAUUAAUAUAAAUAAAUAAAAUGAAAAAAAGAAUUAAUCUUCUAUAUACUGAUAGUGAUAUACUUUCACCAUUGGAUGCAUGACACAUAAUACGAAUUUGAAUUUGAAAUCUAAAUUUUGUAUAUAUAUCAUGCAUCCAACCGUAAUAGUGUAUACACUGUCAAUGCAUAUAAGAUUUAUUCAUACAAAAAACUUACCACUUCUAUCUCCUUCCACCCACCAAUGUCCCUCCCCUCUUACACUGCAACUCCCACUCUCCUCCCUCUUCCUCUUUUCUCCUCUUUCUACUUCCUUCCUCUUCUUCUUUCUUCUCUUCCUUCUCUUUCUCCUUCCCUUUUCCUACAGCCCUCUCCUUUCCCCUUUCUAGUCACGACCAUGGAGGGAGGAAAAUGAGGAGAAAGGAGAGGAGGGGGAGCUUCUGUCCCUGCCUCUUUUUGGUCAUGACUGAGAAGGGAGGAGGAUAAGAAAGAAGGGGAAGGGAGAAAAAAGGAAGAGGGAUGAGGAAUGAGGGGAGGAAGAGGGAAGAGAAAUGAGAGGGGGAGUAGGAAAGGCGGUGAAGGAGGGACGAGGGGUGUGGUGGUGGGAGGUGAUUUUUUUUUUUAAUUUUAAAUUCUAAAAAUUCUCAAAAAUAUAUUUUCAAAAACACUAUUAAAAACACCCAAGAAUACCUAACCAUCUACAAUAAAAAAGUUUAAAAGUUUUUUUUACUAUAUUAAAAUUUUAUAAAGCACUCAUAAAAACACUUCCAAAAUUAAUUGGAAUUUUGAUGACGUUGUAAGACAUGAUUAUUGGAUAUACCCAGAAUUUAUGAGGAUUAACUUGAUAUCUUUACAAUAAUAAAACCUAUGUAGGUAGUUAACACUAACUUGAUAUUAACAUUAUGUGAUUUCAAAUUUAUUCUUAUCUCUAUUUGUAUCAUAUAUAAAGGGGUAAGGGCCUUUUGGUGUAAAUAAAAAAUUGUUAUCUUAUGAUCUUCCGAAAUUACCCAUUAAGUAUGACUAUCCACUUACCAUAUCUACUUUUAUCUCUCCUAUCCACUAUCAUAUUUACUUCUGUCUCUUCUGCUCACUAUUAUAUCUACUCAUGUUUUUCAUUUUAUAACUACCAUAGGCAUGUCAGUGGGUAGGGUCUGGGUUGGAUCUCUUUAAUCCAAAUCCAGACCCAUUUAAUUUAGUUAAACCCAAACCUAGAUCCAGACUCUUUUGGGUUUGAAAAAAUAAGUCCAUACCCAAACCCUUAUGGAUUUGGGUGUCCAAUGGGCAUCCAUGGGUAUUUUCUAAACAUACUAAAGUAAAAAUAUAUUUAAAAUAUAUAGAGUUCAUAAAUAAUAUAAAUACCAUCCAAUUUUUGUUUUCAAAUAAUAAAAUUAACAUUCAACAUGUUGAAUGCAAUAUUGUGAUUUCAAAGAAAGAAUUAUUAUUGACUACUUCUAUAUAUUUUCAAAGAUUCAACUGCAUCCACAUCCAAUAUUUCAUUUGUUUGCCUUUACCUUUUCUCCUUUUCUUGAAAAAGUUUGUAUUAAUUAUAAUGACAACUAGGACUAGUUUUUACAAAAAGAAAGCAACCAUAACAUAUAUAUAAAUAUUUAGUCUUAUUAAAAAAUGUAAUUUUGUACCUCUUUUUCUUAUUUAAAUUUCAAUGUUGGUAGAUGUAUCGCAAUCCAGCACUAAAAUAAUGAAUGCGAUAAAAGUCAUUUGACUAAGGACUAAUGACAAAUAAAUAAUAGAAUAAAAAAAUUUAUAAUACUUACUCAUUUUUUUUGAUUCAAUCCAAUCAUCAGUAAUCACUAAUGUUUCAACCAUAUCUAAAAGCAAUUUGGCAUGAGUCUUAUCAAUCACCCAACCACCAAUACUAAAUGUAGAUUUUAAUGCCAUAAAAUCUUACUGUAUUCGAUCCAAUAGCCAUAAAAUAUUAUAUUAUUUUAUAAAUUUACUAAUAUAUAUUAUUUAAUUAAAUAAAUAUCGGUCUGGGUAACGUCUGGUGUGGAUUUGGAUUUGGAUAUGGAUUCUAGAAAAUCAGAUCCCUAUCCAGACCCCACAACUCUCUCAUAAGGUCUGGGUUUGGGUAGGAUCUAGAUUUGAGAAAUUAAAUCUAAAUCCUAUCCAAAUAUAUUGGGUCUGUGUUAGAUCUGGAUAAGACCCAACCCAUUGACAUGCCUAACUACCCACUAACAAAUAAUAGUCUAUUUGUAUAUUUUAUUUAUGUAAAUGUCAAUUUUCCGUAUGUAUUAUAAAAAUAUAAAACCAAAUCUCAUAAAAAAUAAUUUCAACAGAUAUCUUUAAUAAAUUUUUAAAUAUUUAUUUAUUAUUACACACGCAUCUCAAUGUGCCUUUCUACUAAAAAAUGCACGCCCAAAACUGUUAGUAAACUAUUUCGAGUUCCUCCUUUGCUUUUGGCUUUUGAAUGGGAGUUCGGACUUGGCCAUUUUUACAAGGGAUAAUUUCAAAAACCUCCCCUGAGGUUUCUGACGGUCUCACUCACCUCCCCUGAACUUUGCAAAAUAUCAGAUACCUCCCUUGUCAGAUUAUUGGACCCUAUUUGUGAUAUCAUUGAUGAUGAAUUGACAGAUAUAGCCUCAUAACUUAUGAUAUAUUUUGAAACUAUUUUGACAGAAUUAGUUAAAUGAGUAAUAGAGAUAUAACUUUUGAUAUAACUUAUGAUAUAUCUUCUAUUCUACUUUACACUUUUUAUUCGUAGUACAAUCACCAAUGAAGAGUUUAGCAUUAGUGUUACCUUUCUCUAAAGUCAUGUAUUUCAUUUUUUUUUUGUAAGACAAUUAUCUAGUGUAACUCAUUACUUAUAUUUGGGUAAAUUUGGUUUUCAAAAAUUCAAUGACGUAAAUUGUAUAUUACAUUAUCUCAUAAAGUGAUGCGACACAAUUUGGGUUAUUGAAUUUUUUGAAAAUCGGAUCUACCUAAGUUCUGGUAUUCAAACGAAGCUUGUUGAAUAAAUUCGACUAACUACAGUGUGAAUUAAUUUUUUUUUUAAAAAAAAAUCUCAACUAAAGUAUCUAGCAAUAAAUGAAAUGAAGUAUCUUGCUACUUCAUUUCAUUUUUCACAGAGAAAAUCGCAAAAAGAGUUAUUAAACUAUUGAGAAUUUGGUUAUUUGAUCGUUACAUUAUUUAUUUAACUGCAAUUGCCAUUCACUCAAUUAACCAAAUAGUGAAAAUUUUUUUGUGACAUAACUAGUAAAAAUUUAUACUUUUAAUCACUCAAAUAAUAUUUUUUAUGACUUAACUAAUAAAAAUUUAUACUUUUAAUCACUCAAAUUAUAAAACUAUACAUUUUUUUAAUAUCACCAGAAGUAUGUUUCAAUUAAUUGAAUGAUCAUAUUAGCUAAAUAAAUGUCUAAUAGCUAAAACAAAAAACUAUAAAUUGCUUGAAGAAGUCAUCUGCAUUUGUCUCUAUCUGGUUCAACUUAUUACUUCUUUUUUUUGCUUUUGCUUUAGCUCAAGUUGUGGAUAAGCAAAAAGGGCAUAUGUGGAACACAAAUAUCAUCUCACUCCUCAAAAUAUUUUUUUAAUGCUCAUUUUUCUGACAUGGGCUGAUCUUGUUACUCCAACUAUAAGUUCAGGGGGGGUAUCUGAUAUUUUACAAAGAUCAGGGGAGGUGAGUGAGACUGUCAGAAACCUCAGGGGAGGUAUCUGAAAUUAUCCCUUUUUACAAGCAAAAGUCGAUUUGCAUCAGUACAGCAGUACUUAAUCCAAGAAUAGAGGGGCUCAUUCCGAUGAAAGAAAUCUAGCGUCUGGAUCACACUUCAGCUUCUUCACCCCUUGGACUUGAGAGUCAUCACGGAGAAAUGGACAGCCGCAACGUCAUCGUUUGCGACAAUGGCACUGGGGUAUGUCUCAUUUUUUCCGCAUUUCUUCAAAUAACUGCUAUCCAGCCUUUGAUUUUAAAUCCUAUUAAGCAAUUUAUUUGGUUCCUCAAAUUUAUCUGGGAUCGGCCCUUUGCGUCCCCUAAUCUCCUCUAGCUAAAAGUUUUCUUUUUUUUUUUUUAACAAUUUUAAGAAUAGAUAGGUGAAGCUUCUGUGUGUGGGAUGUGUGUGCGCGUGUGUUUUUAUUGAAAGAAAAAAAAAAUCAGAUUUUGAUUCCAUGGGUAUUUUUGCAGUAUGUCAAGUGUGGCUUUGCAGGUGAGAAUUUUCCCACAUCAGUAUUCCCUUGCGUUCUUGGAAGGCCAAUGCUAAGAUAUGAGGAAUCCCUCAUGGAACAAGAAGUCAAGGUUUUUUUUUGAAGUUAGAAUUAAGCCAAAUAUUGUUUUCUCUCUUUAGAGUUGGGAUCAAUUCCAGUGUGAGGAUAGGUUAAUUUAAAUAAUAUACAAUUUGCAUUCCAACUUCGAUAGAGGACUAAACAUAGCCUUUGGAAGAGCUUUAAUAUGUUCAUUUUCCUUUCUGUUCUUUUUUUUUUUUUUUUAAUAACCUGAUAGGACAUUGUUGUUGGAGAUGCUUGUUUGAAACUGAGGCAUCAGCUGGAUAUUUCCUAUCCUGUCAACAAUGGGAUAGUGCAAAAUUGGGAUGAUAUGGGCCAUGUAUGGGAUCAUGCCUUUUUUAAUGAGCUGAAGGUAAAAAAUUUGGUGCUUGUUGUAAUUAAUUUAUGAAACUAAUUCAGGCAAUUAAUUUCAAUUUUAUAAAAAGGGUGCACUAAGAUGGUUAAUUGGUGAGGAUGUGGUUUUGAAAUAUUUGUUACAACAAGGCAUUUUGACUGACCAGUGUACAAAUUGUAUGCCUUUUUAAUAUUUUUUAUACACAUUGAGUAGUAAAUUUUGGACAAAAAUCAAAGCAAGUGCUGUUUAUAAUAAUAAAUAGCGCAACAUGAUCCCUCUUUAUCAAUCGAUCAUUUUAGUGAGCCCUUUCCACUAAUUUUUCCUUUUUAUGUAUUGAUCAGUUUUCAAGUUUUACUGAAAAUUUGUCAUUUCUUUACUUGAAGGUAGACCCAACAGAGUGUAAGAUCUUGCUCACUGAUCCCCCUUUGAACCCAUCCAAGAAUCGUGAAAAGAUGGUUUGUAUCUAUCUUCUUCAUAACUAUAUGUUUGAUACUGCAAACAUUUUAACCUCUUGGUAUUAUUUGUGAGUCUUGUUUAAAUUUCAGGUUGAGACCAUGUUUGAGAAGUAUAACUUCGCUGGUGUCUUCAUACAAGUUCAAGCUGUUUUAACAUUGUAUGCUCAAGGUGCUUAUAGAGACUGGAUAAAGUUGAAUCUUCAAAUGUUAGUUUUAGAGGGGAAGCAUGCUUUGUCAUUGCUUGGUUUAUCUCAAGACAUGCUUGUGAUGAACAUUUCUACAAUGAAAUCCUUGAAUGGAAAUUUAUCAAAUGUGAUUGAUUCGUUGUCCAAUCUUCUUUUGAAUCCACAGGUUUGCUUACAGGAUUAGUUAUUGACUCUGGUGACGGUGUUACGCAUGUGGUAAACUGCUGAUCUUCACCUUUGCUUGGUUUAUCAAUAUUAUGAUGAUUUUCAGGAUUAUCUUCCUCUGCUCCUUGGAUAAAGAUGAACAGCUUAUUCUUUAGAUGUCUUAUGAACUAGUUUGGUGUGCUUAACAUAGUGAUCAACAUGCAAAGUAGCUAAAAGCAAGUUUGUUCCUCUAGUAUAGUUGCUUUCUACUCUGAAGUUUAAUGAAGGCACUUCAGGAAUUUUGUUUUGGUUGCGGUUUUAUUUGACUUUGUACACAGGAUUCAAAACGAAUUUACUGUAACUAAUCUAUGUAAGAGAAUGCAAUCCUUUGUUUUAAUCUUACAAGUGUUGACAGUUUAAAUGGAAAAAUGUAGCAAACAUAUCAAAACAUGAGGAUUGGUAGUCUUUUCUUAUUGAUGAACUACUCUUACCAUUUUUUUCAGAUAUAUAUAUUUAAUUUCUGACUCUUUUGUCAUGACUUGCAAAUAAUAGAAGUCUGUUGUGGAUAUGUAAAUCUGUUGCAAAUUAUAUUCUUCAGUAGGUAUAUAAAUCUGUGGAUAUUUAACUGAUUAUCAGGUGAUCUAGAAGCUAUUGUUUCUUGAUUGAAGAUGUGAAAUAAUUUUUCUAUCUGAUCCAGAAAGAAUAUGCUACUUGUUCAUAAAUGCUACUUGGUUACUUGACAGCUAAGGUUUUACAGGUUCCGGUUGUGGAUGGAUACUCAUUCCCUCAUCUCACAAAAAGAAUGAAUGUGGCUGGACGCCAUAUUACAUCAUAUCUCGUAGAUUUGCUCCAACGGAGAGGGUGAGUGCAAUCAUGUGGCUGAAAUGAUCAUAACGUCUUGUGUUCUCAUAACUGUUUUCCCAUUUGCCCUUCUAAUUUGCAAAUAAUGCUUCUGGUUUGAAGGUAUGCAAUGAAUAGAAGUGCUGACUUUGAGACAGUUAGGGAUAUUAAAGAGAAAUUAUGCUACAUAAGGUGAAGAGUCGCAUCAAACUGUGGCUUUCAAACUUAUGUUUUUAUGUUUUGAAUUUUUAACUUGAGGUGCAAUUGGGUGCAGUUAUGAUUAUAAAAGGGAAUAUCAAUUGGGACUUGAGACAACCAUCCUUGUUAAGAAUUAUACAGUGAGUUAAUUUCUUUUAAACAGUAUCUUUUUACUAAUGUCUUUUCUAAUCAAGAGAUACCAAAUCCAAACAUGUCUAAUCUUUGUUGCAUCAUGACCAGGGUGCAAAGGACAAUGUCUUCUUAUGUUGAGAUCUAUAAUUUGCAUCGCAAUUUUCUGAAAUUAGUACUUUGAUUUCUAAAUUUAUUGUUUCUAAAAAGAAAUUUUCUGCUCCAGAAUAUGUUUUUCCUGUUUUCUUGUCCUGAAUAGUAUUUACUUUUCUUGUUCUGCUAAUAAAAUUAGGGGUUUAUCUAACAGUUACCUGAUGGAAGGGUGAUUAAAGUUGGGACUGAGAGAUUCCAGGCAUCUGAGGCUCUUUUCACUCCGGUAAACAUGUCUACUGUUUGUUGCUUCGAACUUUUUUACCCGAUCUUCCAAUUCCAUUAUAUGCUGUCCCCCAGACAUGAAACUGUUAGGAGAAUAUUAGUAUUCUUGUAGAUAAUAUAUUAGUAAGGGUAUUCUUGUAAACAGUCCGUUAGGUUUGUACUCCUAUAAAUAUUAGUUGGUCACUCAUAAUACGGUGACUAGAUGUUUUCCUCCCAAGAUACCUCUUUACAUGGUAUCAGAGCAAGAGUCCUAGGGUUUAGGUUAAACAUCUAGCAAAGUACUGUUCACGCCGCACUGUUCAUCGCGGCACUGUUCACGGCGCACUGUUCACGCCGGCACUGUUCACGCGUACUGUUCACGCGUCUCGAGUUUUGACCCUUUCUUGGGUUUGAAGUGCUAUUCGCUAUGGCUGAAAGUUUAUCAAAAAGUAUUGUGACGUCCACUAAUAUUAUGCCAAUGGUGAUGCCUCAAAUCACAAAUUGGAAGUUGAAUGAUACCAAUUAUCAACAGUGGUCAAAAGCUGUUAAGAUUUAUCUGACAGGCUUAGGAAAGCAACGUUAUCUCACAGAUGACUCUCCUACGGAGGAUAGCAAGAAACUAAUGUGGAUUCAAGAGGAUGCCCAAAUUCUUGGAGCAAUAUGGAAUUCUAUGGAGCCACGAAUUGCUUACAUGUGUUCUCAUUGUGAGACAACAAAAGAAGUUUGGGAUUAUGUCCGGUUAUUAUAUUGCAGUAAUCUCUCACGGAUGUUUGAUAUUUCUUUGGAGUAUUUUCAGUUGCAACAAGAUAACAAGACAGUAACUGAAUACUUUGCUGAUCUUAAGCGAGUCUCAGAGGAAUUAAAUGCUGUAAUGCCUCUCUCAAGUGAUAUCAAGGUUAUGCAGAGGCAAAGAGAACAAAUGCUUGUGCUCAAAUUCCUGGCUGGUCUCAAGCCGGAAUUUGAACCAAUCAAAUCUCAAAUUUUAGCAGGUGAACAAUUACCAUCCUUUGCAGAGGCGUAUGCUCGGGUCUUACGUUCUGCAUCUAAGGACAAUGCACAGGGUGAUGGUGCUUUAAUUAAUGACAAAUCUGCUUUAAUUGCUAACAAUAAUCGGACAGAGCAACUUAAUUUUGGACGUGGCUCUCGUGGAGGAAGAAGUAGAGGAGGUCGUGGGGGUCGUGGAGGUCGAGGCACCCGUGAGUGCAAUCAUUGUGGUUUAAAGAAUCACACUCGUGAUACUUGUUGGGAUUUAAAUGGAAAACCACCUCGGUUUGUUAAUACGGUUACCACUGAUCAAACUGAAUCAAGUUCUUUAGCACAAGGGUCUCAGAAGACUGUUACCAUAUCUGAGGAAGAUUAUAUCAAAUUUCUGCAGUACCAAACUGCAAAUCACGCAUCUCUUCCCUCUACUUCUGUAGCACAAAAAGGUAAUGCUAUGGCUUGUCUCUCCACAUCAUCUAAUUUUGACUCAUGGAUCAUUGAUUCCGGAACUACUGAUCAUAUGUCAGGUACCUCUAGAAAUUUUUCUAAUUUUCAAGAGUCUACUUCCUUCCCUCAUGUUACUUUAGCUGAUGGAUCUACAACUAAAGUUAAAGGACUAGGCACUGUAGAAAUUAACUCAUCUCUUCCGCUGCCUUCUGUUCUUUACGUUCCCAGUUUGCCUUUUAAUCUAAUGUCCGUUAGUAAGCUUACUAAAUCUCUACAGUGUUCAGUUAUUUUUUCUCCUGAUUUUGUUGUCAUUCAGGAUUUGAAGACAAAGAGGACGAUUGGUGGAGGACAUGAGCAUAAUGGUCUUUACUUUCUCAACUCUAAUGGUCCGAUUGCGUGCCCUGCUACUGUUUCUCCUCUUGAAAUUCACUGUCGUUUGGGUCAUCCGUCUCUACAAAAUUUGAAGAAGUUGGUCCCUACCUUGAGUCAGUUGUCUUCAUUAGAAUGUGAGUCUUGUCAAUUAGGAAAGCAUCAUCGUGUUUCUUUUGUCCCUAGGGUCAAUAAACGGGUUUCGGAACCCUUUUUGUUAGUUCAUUCUGAUGUUUGGGGUCCUAGUCGAGUAACUUCAAAGUUAGGUUUUAAAUAUUUUGUAAUCUUUGUUGAUGAUUUUUCCAGAGUUACAUGGCUUUAUUUAAUGAAAGAUCGUUCAGAAUUAUAUUCCAUUUUUUGUGCAUUUGUUACAGAAAUAAAGACUCAAUUUGGUGUGCCUGUACGUAUACUUCGCAGUGAUAAUGCGAAAGAAUAUUUUUCCACUCCUUUUGAUACCUUUAUGACUAAGUCCGGUAUUCUUCAUCAGUCCUCUUGUCCUCACACUCCACAACAGAAUGGAGUUGCUGAAAGAAAAAUUGGACAUUUAAUCGAAGUUGCUCGGACACUUUUGUUGCACAUGAAUGUACCCAAACAAUUUUGGAGUGAUGCAGUUUUAACUGCAUGUUAUUUAAUUAAUCGCAUGCCAUCCGAUAUUCUUGGAGGCCAACUACCUCACUCCAUUCUUUUUCCUCAGGACCCUAUAUUUAAAUUACCUCCUCGUAUUUUUGGUUGUGUGUGUUUUGUUCAUCAGCUUGCUCCCGGGGUGGAUAAAUUAGAUUCUCGUGCCAUUAAGUGUAUUUUCUUAGGAUACGCACGAGCGCAAAAGGGGUAUAGAUGUUACAGUCCAGUUUUAAAUCGUUUUUUCACUUGUGCUGAUGUUACUUUCUUUGAAUCCACUCCUUAUUUUAUGAAGCAAGGUAUGUCUUGUGAGUUAGACCAGUGUUCCUCUUUUUCUCCUCCUGUUUUACCAGUCCCUUCAUCUUUAUUACCUGAGUUAUCGGGUUCACCAGAUUCCACCACUCGAUUAUCUCAUCCUAAUCUUCAAGUUUAUUCUCGUCGUUCCAUGGUUGAGAAAGCUCCUGAUAUGCUACGCACUUCACCAAUUAACUCUCAAUCUUCAGAUCCAGGUAUGACGCCCUCUUGUGAGUCAGAUCUUCCUAUUGCUUUACGUAAAGGUAAGAGACAUUGUACUUCUCAUCCUAUUUCUAAUUUUGUCUCUUAUUCUCGUCUCUCUCUGUCAUAUUCUUCUUUUGUUGCAUCUCUUGAUUCGGUAUCCAUUCCUAAGUCUAUUACCCAUGCUCUCAAUGAUCCUGGUUGGAGGUUAGCUAUGCAGGAAGAGAUGCUUGCUUUGGAGAAAAAUGGUACUUGGGAUCUUGUCCCUCGUCCUUCAGGUAAGCCUGUUGUUGGUUGUAAAUGGGUGUACACUAUAAAGGUGCAGCCUAAUGGUUCUAUUGAUAGAUUGAAGGCUCGUCUGGUAGCUCGAGGAUUUACUCAGGUGUAUGGAGUAGACUACUUAGAAACAUUUUCUCCUGUUGCAAAGAUUACCUCGGUUCGCCUUCUUAUCUCUUUGGCAGCAACUUACAAUUGGCCAUUGCAUCAGUUGGAUGUGAAAAAUGCAUUUCUGCAUGGAGAUUUGGAAGAAGAGGUAUAUAUGGAACAACCUCCUGGAUUUGUUGUUCAGGGGGAGAAUUCGCAGUUGGUUUGUUGUUUGAAAAAAUCCUUAUAUGGAUUGAAACAGUCUCCAAGGGCUUGGUUUGGCCGGUUUAGUAGUGUGGUCAUGGAGUUCGGUCUGACGAGAUGUGGAGUAGACCACUCUGUAUUUUAUGGGCAUUCUAAUGCUGGUAAAAUUUUAUUAGUUGUUUAUGUGGAUGAUAUUGUGAUUACAGGUGAUGAUGUUGUGGGGAUCCAGAAACUUAAAUCCAAUCUGCAGGCAAACUUUCAGACAAAGGAUUUAGGUCAUUUACAGUAUUUUCUGGGUAUUGAGGUAGCUCGGUCUAAAUAUGGGAUUUAUUUAUGUCAAAGGAAAUAUGUACUCGAUAUGUUGAGUGAAGUUGGGAUGUUAGGUUGCCGACCUGUGGAUACUCCUAUGGAUCCCAAUGUGAAAUUAGCAAGAGAUCAAGGAGCAUUACUUGAUGAUCCUAAGCAAUAUCGAAAACUUGUGGGUAAGUUAAAUUAUCUCACUGUAACGAGACCUGACAUUUCAUUUGCAGUGAGUGUUGUGAGUCAAUUUCUUGAUACUCCUCGUACUAGUCAUUGGGAUGCUGUUAUACGAAUUCUCAGGUAUCUUAAGGGUGCUCCUGGAAAAGGGUUGCUAUAUCAAAAUCAUGGACACACUGAUAUUGAAGGAUAUAAUGAUGCAGAUUGGGCCGGUUCUGCCUCAGAUCGAAGAUCGACCACAGGAUAUUGUGUGUUUGUUGGUGGUAAUUUAGUGUCGUGGAAGAGUAAGAAGCAAACAGUUGUCUCCAGAUCAAGUGCAGAAUCUGAAUACCGUGCUAUGGCUCACACUGUGUGUGAGUUGGUUUGGUUGAAAAGCAUGUUAGUUGAAAUUGGGUUUGAGUAUAAACAGCCUAUGAAUUUAGUGUGUGAUAAUCAGGCGGCUGUCCAUAUUGCGUCUAAUCCAGUGUUUCAUGAAAGGACAAAACAUAUUGAAGUUGAUUGUCAUUUCAUUCGAGAGAAAUUACUUGAUGGAAUCAUCAAGACAUCUCAUGUACCGUCUGCAGAUCAAUUGGCUGAUUUGUUUACCAAGAGUUUAGGGGGCUCUAGGGUGAAAUACCUUUGUAACAAGUUGGGUGCUUAUGAUAUAUAUGCUCCAACUUGAGGGGGAGUGUUAGGAGAAUAUUAGUAUUCUUGUAGAUAAUAUAUUAGUAAGGGUAUUCUUGUAAACAGUCCGUUAGGUUUGUACUCCUAUAAAUAUUAGUUGGUCACUCAUAAUACGGUGACUAGAUGUUUUCCUCCCAAGAUACCUCUUUACAGAAACAAAUGAAAAAUUACUAGAAGCUGGUUUUAUUGUGUCAUUUUGAACCCUAUGCUCUUUAACAGUUUAUUGUAAAAGGUUCCUAUUUUUCCUUGACAGUAACUGUGUGCUAAAACAUUGCGAAUUUUCACUCCUUAUGUUCAAAUGUGUGGUUGGAAGUAUGAAAACAGGACUAAGGGUGUAACUGAUAUGUUCAAAUGCGAAAUUUCACUCUUUAUGUUCAAAUAGUGCUAUACUCCGAAUCAAAUUCAGAAAAAACUUGAGCUCUACCACAAGUUUGGCCUUGAUCAAGUAUUCUAAUUGGAGCUUGAGUUUGAAUCAUCACAUAGAAGUUCAAGUUCGAGCUCGAUUCGAGCUUGCUUGACUAUUGAAAUAUUGAGCAAGCCUGAACUCGAGUCAUGUGCUAGCUUGAGGCAAGUUGCUUGACUCAUUCAGACUUUUUCAAUACAACUAAAAGAGCAACAAUAAUUGGUAUCAGCAGAGUGUACCUCUAUAAUUGCCAAUAGUGCACUAAGACCUCAAUAAUUAUUGUUAGAACCAUUUCUUAUCUGCGAUUUUACCUGAAAGUCCACCAAUUGGGCCGAAAAGGAUUCACAAUAUUAUAGUAAAAAUUUUCUCUUUUUAGUUCAACUGUCCAUUUGGGUUUUGGAAGUGGGAAGACUUGACAAGAAAACAGAGGGAUGACCACCGCCUCUUUAAUUUACCUUCCUCUUUGGAUCUGGCCACAAAUAUAGCCGCCUCUUCAGAUGAGGACACAGAUAUGAGGAAUAGGAGAGACAACAUGAGAAUGAACAACAGGAGAGAGAACAAGAAAGUAAGGAAGGCAUGGAAUAAGUAAGGGUAAUAUUGUUUUCAGAGUAAUAAAAUAUACUAAAAUGUCCCGAUUUAGACAAAUAUAAUUGUUGUACAAAGUGUAAUUUUGUCGUAAGUGUACAAAUACUUUAGCAUUUGUACAUUUGUAUAUAAAAGUAGUAUACUUAUAUGAUCACUGGCAAGGCUCUAUGAGCUUUCAAAUGGAAUACCGCUCAAACUCAACUUGACAAAACUAUUAAGCUACUCAAGCUUGAUAUUUGCCAAGUUCGAGUCGAGCUUUUGGCUGGCUGCUUGUGUGCAGCUCAAGUCAUUUACACCAAUAAACAGGACAAUUGUGUCCCCAUAGUGAUAGGUAAAACAGCCUAAAUUCUGGUUCCUUCUCGUGAUUCCUGUACUGUUGAUGUUGAAUAUGGACCUUGUCUCUUAACACUUUUACAUAUUGUAAUUUAAGGCAGUUAAUAUGUUUAGUUAUUGGAAUUUAUGCAAAGCAUCUAUGGUUGACCAUGAUGCAAGUGCAAGACUUUUUGUUUGAUGAAUUCUAUCUCUAAAGCAAAUGGAUCUCAACUUCCCAAAAAAAGAAGUUAAUAUUGAAUUUGAAUUUGCAGGAAUUGAUUGAUGUUGAAGGUGAUGGAAUGGCUGACAUGGUGUUUCGCUGCAUUCAGGAAAUGGAUAUUGACAACCGCAUGAUGGUAUAAUUAUUAUAAAUACCUCAUAACUGAUAAUUUAUCAUUGCUUGCACACGACAUAAGUCAGUUAUUAUGAUAUACUAAAUGCAUGAUUUUCCUGUUUGCAGCUAUACCAGCAUAUUGUUUUGAGUGGAGGAAGUACAAUGUAUCCUGGGUUACCGAGUCGGUAAUAUUUUCUGGUUCUGUUUUGCUUAAAUUGAGCCAUAGACUUUGAACAUCUUUUGAAUUACUUUUAAGUAAUUGUUUACUACUAAGCUUGCUGUUUUGCAUUAUUUCUGUCUUCUUGGGUUACCAAUGACUUACUGUUUGCAUGGCUUCUUGAUUGCAGAUUUUUCUCUUACUAUCUAGACAAUUUUCGUCCUCCUUUUCUCUUCGUUUCUUGCAAGCAAUUUUUCCUUGAUUUGAACAAUGCAAAUGUAGAUUUCUUUAUUAAAUUACGUGAAUCAGCGAGUAUAGUUUGUUUUCCUGGUAAUUUUGUUUUUUAAAAUGGUCUCUCGUAUCCACUCCUCUCCUGGUUAACUUUGAAAUUCGUUAGCUAUAUUCAGUUUGCUAGUUUCGAGUUUUAAUUGGCAUAAUGUAGAGAAAAGGGCCAUUAGCAUGCACAAGUGGUCUCUUGUGAUGCUCAAAAUGGGCUCUAAUCUCGAGAAGAAGAAAAAUUUAUCUAUAACCAUUAACUGUGGCCUC